CUAGACGUCUUCUCGUGGAAAACCAUUUCCACCGAUCCGAACGACGAACAUUCUUACUAAUGUGGUGGAUAGAAUCGGCUUAGUGACUUCAUUAUAACGCGCAAAAAAAGCAGACGGAUGUGUGGGAUGUUUAAUUAUCGGCAGGUGCUUGAUCAGAUUCUCCGAGAUUAAUUAUAAUCAAAACACUCUACUGAAAGCGUUUAUAGUUAGUGAGAUAAGUUGAAUUCUGUGUCUGUUUUGUGACUAUUUUUUAGUGAAGUUCCAAAUGAUGAUCUUUAAUAAAACACGAGUUGCAGUGGCUCAAGAGAAGAAACAAAAUAGGCUACACUAUCCGUUGCGAGCCGACUUUACAGUAUAUGGUAGUGUCCGUCACCAGAUUGAAGCUAAGCAAAUUCAAACCUACUUUGGUGAUGAAUAAGCUGUGGGAUCGUAGUUGAGAAAACUUUUCAGAUCGUGAUUUUAGUUCUAAUUUCUUUGUAAACAAAUUGAGAGUGAAAAAUCGUUACAGAUUGAGAAUACCAAUUAGUAUUACAAAGAGACCUCGGUAGUGACGGAAAAUAGAUGUUACAGCGUCACACGUACGUUAUCGUGCGGUUAAUUGAAGGGGAGGUAAAAAUUAUCCCCUUUAGCUUGGUAAGGCUUUCCAUCACGUUCUUGACAGUCAGCAAUUUUGGAGCAAAAAAGAAAUGUGAUUAUUAACAGUGACACGAUUGUGAUACCAUGAGCUUUGUACAUAAUAUAAAGGAAUGGAUCAACACACAUGACGCUUGUUGACAAAUGCAAUCUAAACCAAUGCAGUGCUGCGAAUACCGUGAAACGGAACAGGGUAGGUUCGAGGAACAAAUGCAAGAGAAAGUGGUAGUGCUGGUGGCAAAAAAAAGACAAUAAUGUAAUUGAAUUCAACGAGGAAACUCUACUAGCGCUCUUGGUACCACAACGACAUUAUGUUGGAGGGAAAAAUGAACGUGACAGAAAUAGGUCAACUAGCCAACGAUUCCGAGGCAUCCACUGGCGGUACGGCCGAUAACUCGUCAGUUCGUGAACUUCUUUACUGUGGCCAAGGGCUAGACGAUUUCCACACAAGUUACUCGAAUAUUCACGGAAUUGUGUGUUUACUGGUGUGCAUUUUCGGGAGCAUCGCAAACACUCUGAACAUCGUAGUACUCACGCGACGGGAAAUGCGUUCACCCACCAAUGCCAUCCUCACUGGUCUAGCUAUCGCCGAUUUGUUGGUAAUGUUAGAUUACAUGCCAUAUGCAAUUUACAUGAGUCCAUAUAUGCAGUUUUCUCGGGAGGAGCGGCUGACCUAUAGCUGGAGCUGGUAUGUCAUGUUUCAUUCGAUAUUCGCACAGAUUUGUCAUACCAUCUCAAUCUGGCUUACUGUGACAUUGGCUGUGUGGCGUUACAUUGCGGUUGGAUAUCCACAGAAAAAUCGAAUUUGGUGCGGUAUGACCAACACCCUAUUAGCAAUCACAAGUUCUUACAUCGUGUGCCCUAUGGUAGGCAUACUACUGUACCUGUCGUUCAGCAUACAACCACAUGUUGAACAGCUCGGAAAGGAUGGUAAUCCUUACAAAGCGAGUACAACCGGAACAGUUCGGAAUAUCACUCUCUACCGAACUUCUCCAUCCGAAUUAGCGGAGAAAAACCCUGCGUUGCUAAAUGUAAAUUUUUGGAUAUAUAGCGUAGUGAUAAAAUUGAUUCCAUGCAUAGCGCUGACGAUACUUAGUCUUCGAUUAAUAGCUGCACUACUGGAAGCAAAGCAUAGAAGGAAACAGUUAACGGGCAACUCGAAAGGCGUGAAACAAAUCGUCGACGGACGCGUCGUCGAUGUGCGGCAAAAGAAAAGCUCCAAAAACAUGGAUAAGGAAAAGCAAACAGAUCGAACGACACGGAUGCUGCUGGCCGUGCUGCUUCUCUUUCUCAUAACGGAAUUCCCACAAGGCAUCAUGGGUCUGCUAAGCGCACUGCUCGGAAAUCACUUCUUCUACAACUGCUACUUAAAACUAGGGGACCUGAUGGAUGUACUAGCCUUGAUAAAUUCUGCCAUCAACUUUAUUCUAUACUGCUCUAUGAGCCGCCAGUUUCGAAAUACUUUUAAUUACCUAUUCCGUCCGAAAUUUCUCGACAAAUGGCUUCCGGUGCCCCUGAACGACGGAACACCGAUGGGUCGCCGAAAUCAAGAUGGGGCCACAACACAAAUUACUCAAGUCUAGCAAUCAAGGAGACGUCCUGAUUGCCACUAUUGUUGCUCUAUGCUGAUAACAAGGAUAUUCAGUUGGAUAAUGUUCGAUAAUCGACGCUCCGAAACAGCUUCAACAGAGUGUGCGGUGCUUUAGUGACGUCUCCCAGCAACUGACGAUAGCAACGGUAUUUCAAUGAUAACUGUGGCCUCAUUAGUACAAAUCAAAUCUUAAUGGUGACACUUGUCUGACCGCGAAAAUAAAUACCAACGAGAAAGCAUCGAAAAAAAAAUCACAUUAGCAUCAGCAAUAAAAAUUGCAACUGAUUAUGUGAUUGAAGAAUACAUCAAUGUUAUAAUGCCGUAAUCUCCUUUGGAUUUAUUUCUUUAGGUUUUUCAUCGAGAGUACAAUCAAACUAUAUUUGGAUCAAAACCAAAACUACGGUAAUGAAUGUGAGAGCCCCGUCCAUUGCUGGUGGUCAAUUAAAUCAUUUUAAUUAAAUAUUUUGAACUUUUAAACUAUUGGUCUUCAAUGCUUGUACCAAGAUCACGAACAAAACCUAAUACGGCAAUCCAUUUUAAACUGCAUUUGGUUGGCUAUUUUGAACUGAUGUCUUUAUUCUUGUUUCAUGUUUAUUAUUAUUAUUAUUACUAUUUAUAGAAUAAAUACUUAUCAGAAAAAUAGUGUUAAAACAAUUGAAAAUUAGAUUAAUUAUUUAAUGUUUAUGUUAAAUAAACUGUUAAUAUAUGUAUUUACAUUUACGCUCCAAAUCAUAUAAUCAUAUAGGAGUACUGAAUUUGAAAACAGCUCUUUAUUAUUUCGCCAAUAUGUACUUCACAAAAUGGUUUCCUAUAAGUGCAUGGUUAUUUUUCGAUCUUAUAUUCCAUUCGAAUGUCAAACCCACAGCAUAUGUAUGGAUUGAACAAAACACUCGAUAAGUGAGCUCUUUACUACUAGGCAUUAUAUUAAAUAUCUAACUUUUUAUAUAACUUAAUUAAAAUACCUUUUAUGUAUAGAAAUUCUUGUAAGCGCCAGCCCAGGGCUGAAAGUCUCCUUAAUAAAGAUAAAAAAAAUAAAAAAGUAAAACUAGUAUAAGUUAAAGGAAUUUUAAAAUUAGUAUUUGAAUUGUUUCUUACGUAAAAUCUUUAAAUUCGUUUAUGUGAUUUUUAAACAUUUUUAAGGAUAUUUUUACUAUUCAUCCGGUAUAGUGCUUGUAGUACACCAACUGUUUCAAACUGUUAACAACUACUGUAUACGCAGCUUUUAAGGAUCAAUGGAAUUCAGGUCGGUAUUACAUACUAACAACUUCAAAAACUAUGUAUUGUGCAGUAAGAAUCGGCUCUUUUCUCACGUGAAUUGUGACAUUACUCCGUUGCAACUUGAAAUAGUCCUCUGUCAUAACAUCGUCUAGAAGUUAUACAAAGUAUUUCGAGACCAUUCUGGUGUGGAUUGUGGCUAUUGCCGUUCUUCAUAUGCAUGAAGGACUCACACCAUGAAAGUGAGACCUUCAACAUUUGAAUUCAAUUUUAAUUCGGGAUGUACAGUAAUCCCUCCAUAUGAGCGGUAAACGUUAUCAUCCACCCAUUUCUUUUUCUCGUUUUUUUUUUAUUGUUGUCAACCAUAAACUAGUUAUCUAUAGAAAAUCAGCUCUAUAGGUUGCAGGACUGUCAAGAAAUAGGGACAGCCAAAUUAAGGGAUUACAGUAUGCGUAAAUUGUGACAAUAUAAGGCGCAGCAGUCAGGACUGACAAGAAUAAAUUCCUAUUAGCUAGAUAAAACUAAAAUUAUGAAUCCUUUUUUAUCCGAGAUAUUUGUUUCUAAGCUAAUAUCAAUUUCGUAUAAAUAUGUCUUAUGGUUAAGAUUUUUUAAAAAAUAUCAAGAUCUUCUCAAUAUCUGUGUAACACACAAAGUGUUGGGAUAUGAGGAUCAACUGCCUGGUUUAUUCAUUAGAAAUUGAACUUUCAAUUCGAUGCCCGAUAAAAAUCAGGAAUUGGAUUUGUUUGUGUCCUUAAUGCUCUUUAAUCGCAAUUUCUUCUUUUUUUGAUUCUUUGAGAGUUGCUUUGUCCAAUUCAAGAACCAUUAUAUGCUUUGAUUCAUUGAAAAAACUUUUUCUUUGGUAUUUUUUGCGAAUUUUAAUGAUAAUUUACAUUCAUUUUCUCACCAAAACACUUCACUUUUUUUUUACUUAAAUGAUUCUCUAGUCUUUCAGCUUAAAUCUUAUUGGAUUUUUACGACUGAGCGAAUGCAUUUUGCCAGGAUUUAUUUCAAAUAAAACACACGUACUACAAAAUAUUGCUGAUUUAGAGUUU